rnacentral:rRNA from 1 species
GACGGGGGAUGCAAGCGUUAUCCGGAAUCACUGGGCGUAAAGCGUCUGUAGGAGGUGAUGCAAGUCACUGGUGCAAAACUCUGGCUCAACCGGAGGAAAGCCAGUGAAACUGCAUGACUAGAGUGUGGGAGAGGUAGAAGGAAUUCCCGGAGUAGCGGUGAAAUGCGUAGAUACAGGGAAGAACACCGGAGGCGAAAGCGUUCUACUGGAACACAACUGACACUGAGAGAAGAAAGCUAGGGGAGCGAAGGGG